GGGCCCGUAGUUAAACGGUAUAACACGUCAUUCGCAUUGACGCAUUGGGGGUUCAAUUCCCCCCGAGUCCA
rnacentral:tRNA from 2 species